rnacentral:rRNA from 1 species
AUCAGGUAGUUGGUGAGGUAACGGCUCACCAAGCCGAUGACCGAUAGCUGUUCUGAGAGGAAGAUCAGCCACACUGGGACUGUGACACGGCCCAGACUCCUACGGGAGGCAGCAGCGAGGAAUAUUGCACAAUGGACGCAAGUCUGAUGCAGUAACGCCGCGUGGGGGAAGAAGACCUUCGGGUUGUAAACGGCUAACUACGUGCCAGCAGCCGCAGUAAGACGUAGGAGGCGAGCGUUAUCCGGAUUCACUGGGCGUAAAGCGCAUGUAGGCGGUUCGAUAAGUCCGCUGUUAAAGCCCCCGGCUCAACUGGGGGAGGUCAGUGGAGACUAUAGGACUUGAGGGCAACAGAGGCACGUGGAACUCCCGGUGUAGCGGUGGAAUGCGUAGAGAUCGGGAAGAACACCAGUGGCGAAGGCGACGUGCUGGGUUGCGACUGACGCUGAGAUGCGAAAGUGUGGGGAGCAAACGGGAUUAGAUACCCCGGUAGUCCACACUGUAAACGAUGAACCCUAGGUGUGGGGCGGUAAAACGCUCCGUGCCGAAGCCAACGCGUUAAGGGUUCCGCCUGGGGACUAUGAGCGCAAG